UCUCCCCCAGGUGUGUGUGCUGGAGACAAAGGGCCUAAACGCACUCUUCUGAGCUGUGGCCGAGCCUGGUCCCCAGCCUGGAGGAUGCCAGCCUUCCGAGAAGUCUGAGGUCUGGCCCUGCUCCGGACCUCAUCCAGGAGAGCUGGGCUGACACAAAUGUGUUCUGUGCCCUUAAAAAUGGCAGGCCAGUGGCAAAUAAAACCCGAUUCUUGGCUCUGCGUAGGCAGCCUUUGCCUGGGGCUCCAGAGCCCGUGCGCCAAAGAGCCUCUUUGUCCGACCUGUCACAUGCUCCCUCUGUGUAGAUUCCACGGAGGCUCCGAGGAGACCUGGAGGGAGGGCCGCAGGCUGAUCCAAACCGCCUCUAUAAAUAGCCAGGCUCAGGAAUUCGCUAGAAGUAGGGACUGUUUUCACAGGUUUGCGACUUCGUUUUUUCCAGUAAUCCAGCUGAGUGCUUCUGGGCUGGGGCCACAGCAAGGGUAGGGACAACUUGGAGGGGGUGGGGGAGCCCUCUCCCCGCCGUCUAGGAGGGGCCUGCCGGCCUGCUUGGCUCAGGAUCCGCGCACCGUCUCUGGCCCUGUGGCCGGCACGUGACUCUGGUUAUCUGGGACAAGCCGUGGUGCCCAAGUUCAAAAGCAUCUUCCCCUGGGCCAGUCCCUGGCCGACGCAUCUGGUAAGCAUCAAAACAAGACAGAGAACACUGUGUAACAGGAACCAACUCUGGACUGUUCCAGGCAUUCCUUGUGGAGAAAACCCUUUCUAUCAAGUCUGAAUUCCUCUGCUUUUAAGUAAGCCGCGUGCACUUCUCCCGAGCAGCCCGUUACCAGCCAGCUGUGUGAGCAGCUCAAGAUCGGUGACCACCUGGAUUUUGCUUCCUCAUCAGUGAAAUGAAGGAUGUAGCCCAAGCGGUCUCCAGCCCCACUGGAUUCAGCUCAACAGCCUCGACUGAGCACGGGGCCCCAGGCACUCAGGAGCCGAGAGAGGGGUGUGCUGUGAGGCAUGGGUGCCCGGAGUGGGGUCCCAGGGGCCUGCAGCAGGCUCCAUGCCCAGCACAGAGCCCAACAUGUGGUUUGAACUCACAACCCUGAGAUCAAGACCUGAGCCGAGAUCAAGAGUCAGUUGCUCAACCGACUAAACCACCCAGGCGCCCCCUCAUCGUUUAAAAAGGGGCAAUGAUGUGCCUUCCUUGGGACCUGCUGAGGGCUCAGUGGGUGAAGGCGCACAGCACGCGCCGGACAUGUAUGCGCCCCCAUCGGACUAUGACUCGCAGGACCCCGCAAGAACUUGGCUGCCUCUCUGGCGGGGGGAAAAAUGCCGUAGAAGAAAUUUCAGGAACCUUGAAAGGAGGAACUUCUCAAACUAGGAGGUGCUGCGGAGUCCUGCCUUCUGUUCUCGAAACUGUUCCAACGCUCAGGCAUCGAGACUGAUGGGACGCCCCUCUACCAUGGCUGGAAGAAGAAAAACCCACCUUCUUGAGGGGCCAAAUCCAGCAGGAACUGAGGUUGUGAGUGUGGGGGGGGGUGUUAAUGCCCAGCCUGGGCGCCUUCCUCUCUCUACCAUCCCCAGACCCCAGGUCCCCCAGCUGCUAAAUGGAAGUAACCUCUGACCUCAAGGUGUUCUGAGAGCCAGUGUCAGAACUCGGACUCCUGGUGCCUCCAGAUCACAGGCGCCCCUCCCCCUCCGUCCCAGCGCCACCUCCUCGUUCCAGCGCAGCCCCACCUGCAGUUGGUAGGAUAGCGUGUUUCCCUUUAUAUGCAAUGUCCAGAAGGAGCACGGCCCUAGAGACGGAAGGCUGAUUGGUGGUUGCUCCCGGGGGCAGAGGGAGGGAGAAAUGGGGAGCACCGCCAAUGAGUGCAAGGCUCCCCUUUGUGCGCGGAUGAGGACGGGUUCGGGAGAAGAGGGGGGUGGAGGUAUGACGGGGUUUUCCGGCCACAGCUGACUUUUAGAAAGUUUGCGCAGGGGGCGGUGUAGGUGACAAGCAGGGGACAAGGGAGCCGUAGGGAGCAUUAGAAUGCUGUCUCAAGAGUCCAGAUGAGAAACGAGGUUUGGGGGCAGGAGUGGGUUCCAGGGAAAGAAUGGCGUGGGAAUAAAAUCUUCCCUCGGUACCAGGAAUACAUUUUUUCCCCAAAUGGCAGGUGAGUCGAAACAUCCCAGUGAAACACGUUGCCUGAUAGACUUUACCUUUUGCUCCCCGCCGAGCCUUUAUGGUGCGAAGCGCAGGGCUCACACCCAGCCUGUACCGGGCCACCUGUCCCCCUCGGCCCCGGCGCACCUGUGUCCCCAGGGUCCCACGUGGAGCCAGAGAUUGCACACGGGUAACUCUGAGUCUCCCCGAACUUUGCUUCCAGAAUCGGAGCUACACUCGUUUCUGUGCACAGUCAAGCCGCUGUGGUAUAAUGAUCUCCAUCCUUCUUUGACACACCGUCUGUUGUGUGGUCUGAAACCUUCAUAGUUCUGCCCUGUCUGAAACCUGAUGCCUUUUCUGAAGAGUACUUGGCGCUUAUUCUGUGUGCCUGGAGUUGGUUUGUUGGUUUUUUGUUUUAGGAUUUUAUUUAUUUAUUUUAGAGAGAGAGGGAGAUCACAAGCAGGGAGAGCAGCAGGGGCAGAGGGAGAAGCAGACUCCCCGCUGAGCAGGGAGCCCUACGCAGGGCUGGAUCAGGACCCUGAGAUCAUGACCUGAGCCAAAGGCAGACGCUUCACCGACUGAGCCACCCAGGGGCCCCUCUGUGUACCAGGAGUUUUGAAAUGGCAUUUGGUCCAAAGCAAGAAAGUUCUGGUCUCAUCUUUAUAAAAGUAUUUUUUAAAGGGGGAGAGGCAGUAGUUACUGAUGCAUAAGCAACUCUAAUGAGAAUAUCAAGUCUGAUAAGAAUGUAAUUAGGAAGAACUAUAGACAAUCUGGUAAGGUAUUUCUAACAUCAACUAAGCCGCAGUUUUGCCCAGUUUGCCUGUGUAUUUGGCUCUCCUUUGGGUCCUUGCAUCAGGGACAAACACUCAAGAGGUAGAGUUGUGGACUCUUACAUGGAAACUUGUCACGUGUCGGUUGGUCAAGCCCCAGGUCCGGGGGGGCUGACAUCCACCCUCACACUCACACCUGCUGCAUGGUCAGCUGACCCAGGCCUGGCCAAUCAGUGAGCUCCGUCCUCCUGAUUUCCUCCGAGGCAGGCAGGCUGGUGGGAGGGAAGCCCAGAGAGUCUGUCUCUGCUGCUGCUUGAGGAGGGUCUGCCUGGAAAUGAAGCUGACCCAGAGGAAAGCGGACGUGAGACACAGCAGUUCCUGAAGAUAUGGUUUACACGUUGAGGUCCAACCAUGUGGAACAUUCCAGACUUUUCAGUUACGUGAGCCAAAACACCUCCCACCUUUUUUAAAAAAAUAUUUUUUUAUUUAUUCAUUUGAGAGAGAGGGAGAGAGAGCACGAGCAGGGGGAGCGGCAGAGGCAGAGGGAGAAGCAGAUUCUCCGAGGAGCAGGGAGCCCGACGUGGGACUCGAUCCCAGGACCCUGAGAUCUUGACCUGAGCCGAAGCCAGAUGCUUAACCGACUGAGCCCCCCGGACCCCCCUAAAACAGCCCCCUCCUUCUUUUACUUCAGCCAAUUAAACUGGUCUUUGAUCCUUUGUCAUCAAGAGUCCUUCCGGCACCACGUCAUUGUGGCUACUGUUUUUCUAUUAAAAACCAUGCAGAGAUCAGUGGCUGCUCAUUUGCAGCCCGGCCCACCAUCAGGUCCCUCUGCCUGGUAUCAGAAGGCUCUCCCCACCCUGGCCUCCUUCUGCAUCCUGUUUCUCUCUAGGGAACCAGCAGCACCAUCCUGUCGGGUAAGACCUCUUUGUCCCCUGAGCUUUAAAGAUGCUUGCCUCAGACUCGGGUUCAUUGGCCUGUGGGCCCCCACCUCCCUCCGCAGCUUCCUGGGGACUAAGCCCUGUGUGCAGACACCUCAGUGUCCCCCACGUGGUCCCCUUACCAUCCCCUUGGCCCAGGAACACGGGUCAUCCCCUCCAAACGUUAUUCAGGGGAGCAUUCGUGUGUGAGCCACUACGAUGUUUGGGCUGGGGAGGAAGGGAGGUUCCCACCACCGCACACCCAACAGCCGACCCAGGUUCAACCUCACAGAGCCCGUUCCUAGUCCUCCUUUGGCUUCCCCGGCAACUGGGAUCCCCGCCCACCCCUGACAGCCCCCAGCAGGUGGCUCGGGUACCCGCAUCCCUCUGCUUGUGCCCUGCGUGAGUCUCCCCAACUCAAGCCCCCUCCGUGUUUCUCCAGCCGAUGCACCCCGCCCCUGCUGUCUCGCACCUCCCCCUCUUCACCAGGGCCCCAUUCCACCCCCCCAGCUGUGGAUCCUCACUUCAGGGACUGGAAGAGUCUGUUAAGGACCCUCUUUUUCCCCUGCAUCCCUCAGCAAGAUGAGGGAGCAGGUGAGAUGUAUUUUCCUGCCCACGGGAUUUAUAGCACCCUUCCCCGGGAGGCAGGGCCAGCCGCACUCAUUCUGGGUUUCCAAUAACCAUCUGUUUUCUCUCUGCAGCCUGUGAUGAGGUCCCCCCUUGGCCAUCUCUCCUCUAGGCCCUGCUGACACUCUGUUCAUCAUUCCUCCUGUUUCCAGACCCUUCACCCUCCGGGCCUCUCCCGUGAACGCACUCGUGUUUGCUCAUGUCCUUCAACUGAACGCUGGCCUCAGGCUUCGACGAGCCCCGUGGCCUGCAGUUUCUAUGAGCUGGUUCCACGCUGCUAUCAGUGCAGUCCACGCCGGCUGGUGUCUCUUCCCAGCGGUGUUCCCGUUGGCUCCCUCGUACACCUCUGUCCACUGGCAGCAACUUCCCACAGGGGCAUCCUUCUGUCGGGUCAGGCCUCCCUGGCUUCUAAUGAUGGGAUAACAAAUGGGAAUGAUCUCUGGCAAUGUUUGACCCACUGGUUCGUGCACACUGUGGCUUAUCGUUUAAUUACUUUUGAGUCUCGACUCUAUCAGCAUUCAUUUUAAGCAUCUCUCCCAGGUUUAUGCCAUUUGCAGAUUUGAAAAGCACAUCCCCUACUUCUAUGCACUUCUACUGUAGAAGUGCUGACUGGUACCAGGACAGAGCAGAGUCCUGUGGCCCUCCACGACAGCUCUCCUCGCAGGCUGACACACUGUGCGCAGCGUCCAACGAGCUAUGAAUUUCCCUAUGGUUCUAUCAUGUAGUCUUUGACCACCUAAUCUGCAAAUGUUUAUGCAAAUCCGUGUGUUUGCCUGAGACAUUCUUUGGAUCCAUCAAUCUAAUAGCUCAUUGAAAAUGGGGAAAAAGAUUCGUACAGUGUGUGUUAGUCUUAGCGAGUUUCCAGUUUUGUGUUGCCUCCCUUAUGCAUUCAUGGGCCGACUCUCUAAUAGUCUUAUCCUUUUCUAAAGAUUUACAACACAUUUGCUGGCCUAUUAUUUCUAGAAUUUUCUUUUAUUCCUUUCUUUUGGAAAAGCAGGUCAGGUGUGGUUCAUGGCCAGUGUUUCAACACCUCCCUGGCCCUCCAUAAUUUUUUGAAAUUACCAGCAGUAGCUCUAAGACAAUUGCUGCUGGCAGCUUAAACACCCGGGGAGGCAAUUCAUCGGGGUCUCAGGAAGGAACUCAUUUACAGCAGCUCAGGUAGCGAUUUUUCUGUCUUUGCUUACAUCUGGUUGCAGUCCCGUCUUUGCAUUUAAUUUAACAAACAGCCUCUGAGCUCCUGCGGCAUGCCCUGUGCUUUGUUUUAACCUUUUCAAUUUGAAGACCAUUCUCUUUCCUGGAACAGGCAGAAACAGGAUGAGCAUUGCACUUGUCUGCCUUCUCUCUUUUCUUGAGGGGAGACCGUGGGUGUCCCUGUUCACCUUGAUCUGAAGGUCGCUUUUAAGGGUGUGUGUGUGUGUGUUGUGUGUUUGUAUCUUGAGAUUUCCAGUUUGUUCCCGACUCUGUGCUGCUAGUCAUCAAGUUCAUGCCCUUUUCUCUUUCCUCCAGCUCUUUGGGUUCAUUAAAAAAACAAAAACAAAAACAAAAAAACACUGAAAUGAGGCAUGACUGACAUACAAAAAGCUGUACAUAUUUAAUGUAUGCAGCUUGUUGAGUUUGGAGAUAAGUACAUGCCCCUGAAACCAUCACCAUAAUCUAUGGCACAAACAUAACUAUUUUCUCCAAAGUUUCUUCCUAGCUUCUUUACUAUUAUUAUCAUAACACUUAACAUGGGAUCUACCUUCUUAGCAAAUGUUUAAGUAUAAAAUACAGUACUGUUUACUAUAGGGGCUGGGAUAUCCUACGAUAUGCAGUAGAUCUGAGGACCUAUUCAUCUUGCAUGACUGAAACCUUGUACCCUUUGACUAAUACCUCCCCAUUUUCCCCUCCUCCCAGCUGUUGGCAACUACCAUUCUACUUUCUGCUUCUAUGAGUUUGACUAUUUUAGAUUCCUCACAAAAGCGGUAUCAUGAGGUAUUUUCUCUCUGUCUGGUUUAUUUCACUUGGGCACACUUGUUUUGGUCUAUUUCUGGGUACUGUGUUCUGUUCCAUUGAUCUAUUUGUCCAAUUCUCUACCAACGCCACAAACAAUCUUGAUUACUAUAGAUAGAUAAAAAGUCCCAGAGUAGGGUAGAUUUAUUCCUCUUGUUUUACUCUUUUUCAAAAUUAUCUUAGCUAUUCCUUUAAUUUUCCAUAAAAAUUUUUAGAAUAAUCUUGUCUACAGCUAUGAAAAAUCUUGCUGGAAUCUUAAUAGGAAUUGCUUUACACUGUGUCAAUUUGGAAAGAAUGGACAUCUCUACUAUGACCAAUCCAUUAACAUGGUAUGUCUCUCCAUUUAUUUAGGUUUUCUUUUAUUUCUUUGAUCAGCGUUGUGUAGUUUUCAACAUAUAAAUCCUAUGCUAAAUUUUCUUAGGUUUACACCCAAGUAUUUCUCUUGUUUUUUUUUUUUUUUGAGUGGUUGAUUGUUUUUAAAUUUUGGUGUCCUUGUGUUUAUUGUUAGUAUAUAAAAAUAUGAUAACUUUUUGUAUGUUUAUCUUAUAUCUUGUCACUUUGCUGAACUCACUUAUAAGUUCCAGGAUUUAAAAAAAAAUUAUUCCUUGUGGGCACCUGGGUGGCUCAGUCAGUUAAGCGUCUGCCUUCAGCUCAGGUCACGAUCCCAGGAGCCUGCUUCUCUCUCUCUCUUUGCUGCUCUCUUGCGUGCGCUCUCUCUCUUUUUCUCUCUCUCUCUUUGCUGCUCUCUUGCGUGCGCUCUCUCUCUUUUUCUCUCUCUCAAAUAAAUAAAAUCUUUUAAAAAAGUAUUCCUUGGAAUUUUCUAAGUAGACAAUCAUGUCAUUUGCAAAUAGUUUUAUUUCUUCCUUUCAGAUCUUUAUGCCCUUUAUUUGUUUGUCUUGCCUUAUUGCACUGGCUGGAACUUCUAGAAUUAUCUUGAAAAAGAGUGGUAAGAGUAGACAUCCUCCCCUUGUUCCCAAUCUGAGCAGGAAAGCAUCCAGUCUUUUACUAAUAAGUAUAAUGUAAUCAGCAAAGACCCUUUUCCCAUACAAAGUCCCAUUCAUAGGUUCCUGGAGGGCAUGUCUUUUGAGAAUUUCCACUCACCUCAGUGCAGGUGGUGAGUUGCUCUGGGCAUACUUGCCCACACCUUGCCUUGCCAGCAUCCAGUCAGGGGCUGAGCACUGUGGCCUAGGAACUGAGCAAACUACGAAGUGGGCCGGUCUCUGAAGAGAGACCACCUCCUACCAGCAUUCGAGGUGGAAGGUGAGACCUAAUUAUGUCAGGUGGGAAUGUUUUGCAGGCAGGAGAGAUGGGCAGCCUUGCUGCUCCUGGAAUCAGAGGCAGCUCCACCUGAGGCAGGGGGAUGGAGAAGACGGAGCCUCCCUCCUUGGGUAGAAAGAAUGCUAAGCUGGGGCUUGGGCAGACCCAGGGGAAACUGCAGACAUUCGGGGACUUGUCAGCAGGGCUGUGAGCCGAGCAAGGAGCAGGCUGGAUUUGGGUAGCUGGGCAGUUCUUCCAAAUCGAGAUAUUUUUUAACUAAGACUUAAGUCCUGAGCUGGACACCAAGAAGGACUCUAUCUCCUCACCAUCUGUAAUUGCUUGUGACCUUAUAAAUCCCCUCAUCUCUGUGGGUCAUGUUUAUCUCAUUCCUGUUAGCUGGCUGGAGGCUGGGUUGUCAUCCACCAUCCCCAAAUAGUUAUCGAGUCUCUAUUUUGCAAUAGACACGAUAAAAUACACUCCCUGUCUACAAAAACUCCCUACCCUGGGGGAGAAAAAUAAAUAAAACAUCAUCCAAAGGCAGCUAGCUAAGCAUUGUAACAAAGGCUGCAUGUGGAUGGCUGCUGGGGACCAGGCUAGGGGCUCACACCCUUUUUACAGAUGUGGACACUGAGACUCCUCCCAGGGGCAAGGCCAGUAUUAUAGCCCACAUAGCUGUUAAUGGUAAGGCCGGGAUU